rnacentral:rRNA from 1 species
UAGGGAAUCUUCGGCAAUGGACGAAAGUCUGACCGAGCAACGCCGCGUGAGUGAAGAAGGUUUUCGGAUCGUAAAACUCUGUUGUUAGAGAAGAACAAGGACGUUAGUAACUGAACGUCCCCUGACGGUAUCUAACCAGAAAGCCACGGCUAACUACGUGCCAGCAGCCGCGGUAAUACGUAGGUGGCAAGCGUUGUCCGGAUUUAUUGGGCGUAAAGCGAGCGCAGGCGGUUUCUUAAGUCAGAGGUGAAAGCCCCCGGCUCAACCGGGGAGGGUCAUUGGAAACUGGGAGACUUGAGUGCAGAAGAGGAGAGUGGAAUUCCAUGUGUAGCGGUGAAAUGCGUAGAUAUAUGGAGGAACACCAGUGGCGAAGGCGGCUCUCUGGUCUGUAACUGACGCUGAGGCUCGAAAGCGUGGGGAGCAAACAGG